CAGCUGCAGUGUUCGAAUAAGCAUCAAAGUUUGUUCGCUCUCAUCAGCUUCAAGUGUUCGUUGUUUCGAAUCAAUUUUUCAAAGAAAACCCUUCUCUAUUACACCUAAUAAAUCAUCAUGUCGUCGGAAUGGACCACCAAAGAACAAUGCAGCAAAUGCAACUGUAUUGUUAAAGAAAGAGAAAUAGGCAAUGGACCCGACGAUGGCGGAGAUUGCACCGAAGUAUACAGAAAACUCGGAAGCUGUCUUAACCAAUGUUUGAAAGAAAAAUGCAGAGAGUACCAAAGGAAAAAACAAGGCCGUCGCGGAGGAGAUAAUUGUGAUUGGUGAUUGGCGAGAAAUUAUGUUUUUGUUAUGAAAAAUAUUAAGUAAAUUUGAAUAAAAAUUCGUUAUUUGACUUC